UGGGGAAUAUUGGACAAUGGCCCAAAAGUCUGAUCCAGCAAUUCUGUGUGUUUGAUGAAGGCCUUCGGGUUGUAAAGAACUUUAAGUAGGGAAGAAGAAAGUGACGGUACCUACAGAAUAAGCGACGGCUAAAUACGUGCCAGCAGCCGCGGUAAUACAGAGGGUGCGAGCGUUAAUCGGAUUUACUGGGCGUAAAGCGUGCGUAGGCGGCUGAUUAAGUCGGAUGUGAAAUCCCCGAGCUCAACUUGGGAAUUGCGUUUGGAACUGUCUAGCUAGAGUUUGGCACAGGGGGGUAGAAUUCCACGUGUAGCAGUGAAAUGCGUAGAGAUGUGGAGGAAUACCGAUGGCGAAGGCAGCCCCCUGGGCUAAAACUGACGCUCAUGCACGAAAGCGUGGGGAG
rnacentral:rRNA from 1 species